UACAUUUUCAUGUCAUUCUAAAUAAACUAUGUAGUUUCAAAUACAUUCACUAAUAACCCUUUAAUUAAGUUGAUGCGAUCCAGUACGUAACUAAGCCCAUAAUUUCGGCUGUCUGGUUAGAAAUAAAUAUUUAAAUUUGUUUGGGCUUUUAAUAAAUGUUACCGAUUUUAUAAACAACAACAUUCAGUUGCCGAUUUUAUGGUUUAGGAAUUUAAUUGUUUACCCGAUUUUGGAUAUCAUUAUAUUUAAUAUGAGUACAAAAUCGAGCAUAGUUAUACUUAUUACCUUCCUAAAACUCAACACC
rnacentral:lncRNA from 1 species